rnacentral:tRNA from 1 species
CCUUCGAUAGCUCAGUUGGUAGAGCGGAGGACUGUAGAGGAGAAAAGAGGCAUCCUUAGGUCGCUGGUUCGAAUCCGGCUCGAAGGA